AAUUUUAUAGUCAUUUUAUGAUAUUAGACUGCAAUUCUAAAGGUGUAUUAUUACUAAGGUUU
rnacentral:tRNA from 1 species